rnacentral:rRNA from 1 species
GAUUAGUGGCGAACGGGUGAGUAACACGUGGGCAAUCUGCCCUUCACUCUGGGACAAGCCCUGGAAACGGGGUCUAAUACCGGAUAACACUUUCCAAAGCAUUUUGGGGGGUUAAAAGCUCCGGCGGUGAAGGAUGAGCCCGCGGCCUAUCAGCUUGUUGGUGGGGUAAUGGCCUACCAAGGCGACGACGGGUAGCCGGCCUGAGAGGGCGACCGGCCACACUGGGACUGAGACACGGCCCAGACUCCUACGGGAGGCAGCAGUGGGGAAUAUUGCACAAUGGGCGAAAGCCUGAUGCAGCGACGCCGCGUGAGGGAUGACGGCCUUCGGGUUGUAAACCUCUUUCAGCAGGGAAGAAGCGAAAGUGACGGUACCUGCAGAAGAAGCGCCGGCUAACUACGUGCCAGCAGCCGCGGUAAUACGUAGGGCGCAAGCGUUGUCCGGAAUUAUUGGGCGUAAAGAGCUCGUAGGCGGCUUGUCACGUCGGAUG